rnacentral:rRNA from 1 species
AUUCAACGCUGGCGGCAGGCCUAACACAUGCAAGUCGAGCGGAUGAAGGGAGCUUGCUCCUGGAUUCAGCGGCGGACGGGUGAGUAAUGCCUAGGAAUCUGCCUGGUAGUGGGGGAUAACGUCCGGAAACGGGCGCUAAUACCGCAUACGUCCUGAGGGAGAAAGUGGGGGAUCUUCGGACCUCACGCUAUCAGAUGAGCCUAGGUCGGAUUAGCUAGUUGGUGGGGUAAAGGCCUACCAAGGCGACGAUCCGUAACUGGUCUGAGAGGAUGAUCAGUCACACUGGAACUGAGACACGGUCCAGACUCCUACGGGAGGCAGCAGUGGGGAAUAUUGGACAAUGGGCGAAAGCCUGAUCCAGCCAUGCCGCGUGUGUGAAGAAGGUCUUCGGAUUGUAAAGCACUUUAAGUUGGGAGGAAGGGCAGUAAGUUAAUACCUUGCUGUUUUGACGUUACCAACAGAAUAAGCACCGGCUAACUUCGUG